AUAUAUAUAUGCCUCCCUCUUUCUCAUUUCCACUUUAUCUUUUAGAGACCUACUUAGUUCCCAAAGAAGAGAGCUUUCUGCAUUCUAAGGGUUAUGCAGAGGUAGUCACAGAAAAUGAUUUUUUAACCUACAAGUUUCAUUUUUCUUGUAAUCUCAUGCAUAUUGAAAAUGCAGAGUUUAAUUCUAUUGCAUUUUUCAGAAUUCUCAAUCAUAAUCCUCUGAGGACUGUCAAAGAUUCAUCUCUUUUUAAAUUACCAGCAUUAAAAUAUCUAGACUUGGGACAAACACAUGUGCCACUUACAGCACUUGAGAACAUAGUCACAAUGGCUUUGGAAUUGGAAACAUUGUAAGUUAGUUUUGUUUUUCUUAGAUUUAUUCGACUAGGGUGUUUUGGUUAAUUUUUUUAUUAUUAUUAUUUUAGUUUGUUAGUACAUGUGUGUAUGUCAUAAUGAUUACAUUCCUUGGAGGAGGAG
rnacentral:lncRNA from 1 species